GCCUUAUAGGUAAAACUCUUACAUUUCCUAUAGUGCUUUGUUCAUUACCGAGUUUAGAAAAAAUAUCUGGACCCUCCAAUGAAAAUUUCUUAAGUAUGCCCCUGUUUAUUAUACUACUUAUUAGUUAUUAUUAUUUACUUUUGCAUGCUUUAUAUUACUUUUUAUAUUUUUUAAGCACUCAAAGUACAUCAACUUUUUUAUAUUAUAUACCUAAACAACUGCUUCUUUUAAUUCAACAUGUACAAUUUUUAUUUUAGAGGGUCGAUGAUUCUACGACACAAAGUGGUAGUAAAAAUGUUAAUCAAGGUAAUCAGCAAGUUAAAAACAAUGGAUUGUUUUUUGGAAAGAGACCAUAAAAUGAGAACACAAAACGUUUUUUUUUUUUGAUAUAUUUAACAUUAACAAUUUUAAAAGCAUUUCUUACGCUAUUAAAUAUUUAAACGUAUUAAAAUACAUUUUUAAAAACAGUUUUAAAACAAUCUCAAAAAUUAUACUUUGAUUAUAUUAUAAGAUUAAUAUUAAAUUACAUCUAAUUUGAUGAGUUGGACACUCAUCAUUUUAUUUUUUGAAUGUAUUUUUAUAUUGAUUUAUAUUCACAAUUAUUACAAUAUUAUUGAACCUUUUAAAUGUUGUUAAGUUGAUUCUCAUUCUGUAGAUGAUAAUGCUACAAUAUUGUUAUACCUUUGUUUUUUUUUAUUUCAAACUAUUAUUGACCUUAAAUUUAAUCUUAUUGUAAGGUAUGUUUCAAGAAUAAAGCGUACAAUUUGUAUUAUCUCACAAAAAAACUAUUGUGAAUUUACUCUCAA